UGUCCUCGGGUGAAGAUAAAAUAAUGAGAAAUAAAAAAAAAUUACUCCUCAUGGAUCAGAUUAAUUAAUCAACGUCAAAAGCAGGACAGUCGUGUUCUUAGUUACUCAACAAAUGUUCAUUGACUGCUGAGCGCUUGCUACAGCCCAGAGGGGAGCUUGUGUCUCAGACUGUCUCCCUCCUUCAGGACCAGGUUCAACACACCACCGGCCUCCCCUUGGGCUCCACCCUCUGCCUCCGCCCAGGUGCUACUGCAUCCGUGCAUCCUCUCAGGCUGGUGUCCUAACUCCACCGGCUCUUCUUACUAGUUCACUGACUCUGCUCUAGACUCUGCUUUGGGCCCCCUCUUGUCUCUGCCCUUUCCUUGAACGUGAGGACUAGAUUAGCAACUGCUGAAAUACAUUCUCCUCAAAACCCUGUUUUUCCCUUUUCUGUACCCACCUGCAAAGGUCCUCCUCUAGCAAGACUUUCCUGGCACCCGGGCUGCUAUGGACUGAAUCGAAACUCCUAAAUUUCACAUGUUGCAGCCCUAACCGCCAGUGUGAUAGUAUUUGAGAAUGUGUUCAGCUUCUUUGAGGUGCAUGCCCUGUGGGAUCUUGAGAUAGCAAAGACCAUGAUAAGCUGGCCCCACUGGGUGCAGGUGUGCAGGAGAAUUUGCAACAGUGACCCUGGCCUCUGUUUCGUUCCAUACUGGGGGUUGUUAGUAGCCCCUGCAAAGUGUAUCUCAUCUCGGAAUGGACGGAGCUGAGUGCGCUGAAGAGCAUCUGCAACUGCUAGAUCGUGCCAUCGCUGAGCAGCAUUUUCCCAGGCUCUGAAACGGUGACACACCCCAAGCACUUGCAGCGAAGUUCAAGGAUGUGGUGAAAGGGUAAAGAGAGUGAAGUGUACGGUCUUUGAACGUCCUUCAAAACCCGUGACUAUACCCUUAUCUCACCUAAACACUCAUAACAAUGUCUUAAUAUUUUCAAGUAAAUAAAUAGGGCAGAUUCAAAUUUCA